GUAGGUGGCAAGCGUUGUCCGGAAUUAUUGGGCGUAAAGCGCGCGCAGGCGGUUCUUUAAGUCUGAUGUGAAAGCCCACGGCUCAACCGUGGAGGGUCAUUGGAAACUGGAGAACUUGAGUACAGAAGAGGAAAGCGGAAUUCCACGUGUAGCGGUGAGAUGCGUAGAGAUGUGGAGGAACACCAGUGGCGAAGGCGGCUUUCUGGUCUGUAACUGACGCUGAGGCGCGAAAGCGUGGGGGAGCAAACAGGAUUAGAUACCCUGGUAGUCCACGCCGUAAACGAUGAGUGCUAAGUGUUAGGGGGUUUCCGCCCCUUAGUGCUGCAGCUAACGCAUUAAGCACUCCGCCUGGGAGUACGGCCGCAAGGCUG
rnacentral:rRNA from 1 species